AGAGGCAAUGGAUAACUGUGGCAAUUCUAGAGCUAAUACACAAGACACAGGCUACAAUCGGUCAGUGUGCUGUUGAUGUCUUCAUGCCAUCAUGUGCAUAGUUACUUGUGUCAACUGUUUCAGGCCAUGGCGCUACAUAUUAGACUGAGACCAAUGCAUGUAAUUCUGUUCUCUCACCAUUGUCAUUGCUUUUCAUGGCACACACAUGCAUGGUGUGCAGUGGCUGAGCCAAAGUGUAGCACACUCUGCUUUGGUGACUCUAGAUAACUCCCUGGUCAAUUGCACUGGCUUUUACGCCUGGUGAUGGGUCUCUUGAGAGUCCACCCUAUCAACUGCCGGUUAAGUGUGUAUGAUGUUACUAUGGGUAAUGGGGAAUCAGAGUUUGAUUCCAAAGAGGGAGCAUGCAGAACAGCUAACACAUACAAGGAAAGCAGCAGGCACACAAAUUACCCACCCCCGGUAUGGGGAGGUAGUAAUGAAAAAUAACAACUCGGGACACUGUCUAGGCCCUGUGAUAGGAAUGUGUACACUUCAAAUAAGGGCCAACUGGAGGUAAAGUCUGGUGUCAGCAGUCACUGUAAUUCCAACUCUGUUAGUAUAUAUUAAAGUUGCAGCCCGAACUCAGGUUCAUGGUCACAUAUGUGGCCCCCAUGCCAUUGUCCAAAGUUGACUUUGGUUGUCCAUACACAUUCCAGGUCCUUUCUGCUGGUGUCAACUGCUUUUAUAUCUGCCAUGCAGCCCUGCUGGUGAAGUUGUAGUAGGUGUCUGCUGCAUUGCUGCGGCCUUCACAACUCUACCUACCUAUGCAUCCGUUUUGCAUCUGUGCAUCGUUGGUAGUUUUUUUCUUCAUGACCAGUAGGUUUACUCUGAAAAAAUUAGAGUGCUCAGAGCAGACUGUUCAAGCUUGCAUAUGAUAAGCAUGGAAUGUUGGAAAAGGGCCUCCUUUAUGUCUGCAGUCAGUUUCUAUCUACGGUGGAGCAAUGAUUGAAUUGAGCAGUUGGGGACCACUUGUAUUGUGACGUUAGAGGUGAGAUUGAUGGAUUGUCACAAGACAAACUAGAGAUGGUGCAUGGCAAGCAUGUUUUCCUCAAUCAAGAGCAAAAGUUGGAGGUUUGAAGAUGAUCAGAUGCCGUUGUAGUUCUGACCAUAAAUGAUGCUGAUUGGUUAUCUGCUUCCAUAACCCGGGGGUAGCCUGCGGGAAACCAGAGUUCGGUUCUGUGGGGAGUAUUGUUGCAAAGCUGAAACUUAAAGGAAUUGACAGAGGGGCGCCACCAGGAGUAGAGCCUGUGGCUUAAUUUGACACAACACAGAAAAACUUACCCAGUCUAGACUCUGGUAGGAUUGACAC